GGGGAAAAAUUAAUUAAUAUAUAAAUAAUAAAAAUAAUUUUAAUUUAUUUAAUAUUUAAUAGGGGUUUUAGUAUUAUUUAAAGAAAAAAUUUUUAUAUUUAUAGUUUAUUAGUAUUGUGAAAGAAUUUUGAAAUAUUUGAAAAUAAAUUUAUUUAAAAGUAAUUUUUAUUUAUUGUAUCUUGUGUAUCAGAGUUUAUUAAAAAUUUUUAAUUUAUUUUAAUUUCUCGAAUUUAAAAGAGUUAAGUAAUUAUUAAAGUUAAUGUUGCAAAAUUAUUUUAAAUAAUUAUUUUGAAAUGAAAUGUUAAUCGUUUUUAAAUAUAUCUAGUUUUUUUAGAAAAAAUUUUAAUUUUAAAUUUAUUUAAUAAUUGAGUUAAUUAAUUAAUUUAAUUAUUUUUAAUUUUUAUAUUUUAAGGGAUAAUCUUUAAUUUAAAUUUUUAUAAUAAUAAAUUUUAUUUUUAAAAAUUUUAUAAUUUAUAUUGUUAAUAAAAUUUAUUUUAUUAUAAAUAAUUUUAAAUUUAAUAAAAAUUUAAAAAUUUAUAUUUAAUUUUUUAUAAAAAUUUAAUUUUUAAUUUUAAAAUAUUAGUAAUAAUGAUAAAAUUAGUAUAUUUAUUUAGUUUUGAAUUAUAUUAAUUUAAAAUUUUAAUUAAUAAUUAAUUAAUUAAAAGGAAUUCGGCAAAUAUUUAUUUUCACUUGUUUAUCAAAAACAUGUCUUUUUGUGAUUUAUUUAAAGUCUAAUCUGCCCACUGAUGAAAAUUGAAGGGCUGCAGUAUUUUGACUGUACAAAGGUAGCAUAAUCAUUAGUCUCUUAAUUGGUGACUUGUAUGAAGGAUUGGAUGAGGAAUAAGCUGUCUCUUAAAUUAAUUUAUAGAAUUUAAUUUUUUAUUUAAAAAGUUAAAAUAUGUUAAAAAGACGAGAAGACCCUAUAGAGUUUUAUAAUUAAUUUAUUAAAAAAUUAUUUAUAAUAAAAAUAUUUUUAUUGAAUUAAUUAUUUUUUUGGGGUGAAAGAAAAAUAAAUAAAACUUUUUUUAAAUUUAUACAUAUAUAAGUGAUUGAAUGAUCCAAUUUUAUUGAUUAUAAGAUUAAAUUACCUUAGGGAUAACAGCGUAAUUUUUUUUUUUAGUUCAAAUAAGAAAAAAAGUUUGCGACCUCGAUGUUGGAUUAAGAUAAAAUUUAAAUGCAAAAGUUUAAAAUUUUUGAUCUGUUCGAUCAUUAAAAUCUUACAUGAUCUGAGUUCAAACCGGUGUGAGCCAGGUUGGUUUCUAUCUUUUAAUAGUUAAAAUAUUUUAGUACGAAAGGAUCAAAUAUUUUAAUUAAAUUAUGUUAAUUUUGAAUUUUAUUAAAUAUUAUAGUUAAUAUUUAUUUUAUUUAUUUAUAAAAAAUUA
rnacentral:rRNA from 1 species